rnacentral:lncRNA from 1 species
GUGCAUGCUCCUGGUGCAUGAUUUGCAUGCAAACCUUGCUUGGUGCAUGCUCCCAGUGCACACGGCGCUUGCAAACUGUGCUCUGUGCAUGCUCCUGGUGCACGAUUUGCAAGCAAAGGUGCCCCGUGCACGCUCCCAGUGCACACGGCGCUUGCAAACCUUGCUCGGUGCACGCCCCCGGUGCACGCUUUGCACGCAACCCCUG